CAUAAAAAUGGAUCCAUUGAUACAUGAAGGUUUUGUCAUUAAAAUCCCUUUCUAAAAAAGGAAAGAUUCAUUAACUAGAAGCCAACUACCCUCACGGAUCACUCCCUCAAGCCUCAAGCUAGCUCUGUGAAGAGAGAAACCCUAGGAUUAGGAAGAAAGGCGUCGAAGAAAACACACAACACCAUUUCACAGGUUUUUCCCUUUUCCGACACUUGUAAAGAACACAGUCUAUGAGCAAUGGUGAUAUCGUCCUCGGAUGAAACAAUCGAUGUUGUUGUCAGCGCCAUGGUGUGGUUCAUCUAUCCAUUCGCUUUCAUGAUUAUCACAGCAGAAUCUCACCCAACGAGGUACCAAGAGAAGAUCCAGGAGCUUCUCUUCUACUGGUACAUCACUGAAACACUCUCAGGCCGUCAUCCUUGGAUGGAAAUCCAGCACUUGGUAAAUCCUAAGAAAACCUCAGCUUGGAGCAUGAAGAAAAGGGUCAAAACGGCUUAGCAUUGAAGAUCCAAACUGAAUCUGAGGCAAGAGUUGCAGCAAAGGAGCUCUUCCAAAACGUAGCCAAGCCAGGAUCAAAGUUUAUUGAACUGGGGGACUUGGCUCGCUUCCUUCCGGAAACUGAUGCCUUCUCGUUUUUGAACAUCUUUGGACAGACAGAAGAGGAUGGGACAACCCGAAUCAUCUCCCCAUCUCGGCUACCAUUCAUAGUAAAUGAGACGACCGGAAUCAGCUGCUCAUCUAUGCAACAUUUGAUGGCUAGAGAUGUCUCUUGUCUUGUCAAUGAAAGACACAGACUCUAUAAUGAACGCUAUGAGGAUCACAGUCUUCCUGACCGCUGCGAUUGCAGACUUAGUAGCAUUUGUUCCUGUAUAUCUAACGCUAGGCGUAUCCGGAUCAAUGGUUUACAUGUUCUUCAUUUUCCUGGCGUUACGUGCUAUAAAACAUUCUCAGCAAUGGAGUUUCAUUCUCGAUUCAACCAUGUUGUUUUUAUUUCGCCAUCCGUAUUCUGUUGGCGAAAAAUGUAUAAACGAUGGAGUCGAAAUGGUGGUGAAGAAAAUAAACUUCUCAUCAAUAACUUUCGUUGGACUCGAUAUGAAGGAAUAUCAAAUCAGCGGUGGUACUGUACGGUCCAAGUGGCGCAUUGACCUCUUUCGAGGUAGUUCUACGUUAGAGAAGAUGCAACUGAUUCUGAGUGAAUCCCAAGGUAACUUGUUUCCAUAGUAUAUCUUGUGCUUGAAUAUCUGGAAAUUAUAUAAUAUGACCUGAGGUCCUGAGUACUUUUUCUUUUUAAUUAGUGUUGUCUCUUUUAAAGAUGCAACGGUUGUUUAACUACAGCUUUGAAGAUUAGGACAUAAGGAUGAUUGUAGACUUCUUUGACAUGCCUUCUUAUUUAACUACUUUGUUGUAAUGUGUAGGAAACAA